rnacentral:rRNA from 1 species
AUUGAACGCUGGCGGCAUGCUUUACACAUGCAAGUCGAACGGCAGCGCGGGCUUCGGCCUGGCGGCGAGUGGCGAACGGGUGGGUAAUGCAUCGGAACGUGCCCAGCAGUGGGGGAUAGGCCGGCGAAAGCCGGAUUAAUACCGCAUACGACCAGAGGGUGAAAGCGGGGGACCGAAAGGCCUCGCGCUAUUGGAGCGGCCGAUGUCGGAUUAGCUAGUUGGUGGGGUAAAGGCUUACCAAGGCGACGAUCCGUAGCUGGUCUGAGAGGACGACCAGCCACACUGGAACUGAGACACGGCCCAGACUCCUACGGGAGGCAGCAGUGGGGAAUUUUGGACAAUGGGGGCAACCCUGAUCCAGCCAUGCCGCGUGCGGGAAGAAGGCCUUCGGGUUGUAAACCGCUUUUGUUCGGGAAGAAAACCUCUGGGCUAAUACCCCGGGGGGAUGACGGUACCGGAAGAAUAAGCACCGGCUAACUACGUG